GACGAACGCUGGCGGCGUGCUUAACACAUGCAAGUCGUACGGUAAGGCCCUUUUUUGGGUGCGUGCGCGAGGGGCGGGCGGGUGAGUAGCACGUGAGUAGCCCUCCCUUUUGGGUUGGAUGACUGCAGGAGACGGGGGUUAAGGCCAUGUAUUAGCUCCGGCUGCAGGGUGGGGGUUGGAAUUUUGCGGUGGGUGGGGAUGGACUCGCGGUUUAUCAGCUUGUUGGUGGGGUUGUGGCCUACCAAGGCUUUGACGGGUAGCCGGCCUGAGAGGGUGACCGGCCACACUGGGACUGAGACACGGCCCAGACUCCUACGGGAGGCAGCAGUGGGGAAUAUUGCACAAUGGGCGGAAGCCUGAUGCAGCAACGCCGCGUGAGGGAUGACGGCCUUCGGGUUGUAAACCGCUUUCGCCUGCGACGAAGCGAGAGUGACGGUAACAGGUAAAGAAGCACCGGCUAACUACGUG
rnacentral:rRNA from 1 species